GUUUAUGUAGCUUAUUUUUUUUAAAGCGUGACACUGAAAAUGCCAAGAUAGAUUUUUAAAUGAUCUCAUAAACA
rnacentral:tRNA from 1 species